rnacentral:rRNA from 1 species
CAGGUUGAAGGUUGGGUAACACUAACUGGAGGACCGAACCGACUAAUGUUGAAAAAUUAGCGGAUGACUUGUGGCUGGGGGUGAAAGGCCAAUCAAACCGGGAGAUAGCUGGUUCUCCCCGAAAGCUAUUUAGGUAGCGCCUCGUGAAUUCAUCUCCGGGGGUAGAGCACUGUUUCGGCAAAGGGGUCAUCCCGACUUACCAACCCGAUGCAAACUGCGAAUACCGGAGAAUGUUAUCACGGGAGACACACGGCGGGUGCUAACGUCCGUCGUGAAGAGGGAAACAACCCAGACCGCCAGCUAAGGUCCCAAAGUCAUGGUUAAGUGGGAAACGAUGUGGGAAGGCCCAGACAGCCAGGAUGUUGGCUUAGAAGCAGCCAUCAUUUAAAGAAAGCGUAAUAGCUCACUGGUCGAGUCGGCCUGCGCGGAAGAUGUAACGGGGCUAAACCAUGCACCGAAGCUGCGGCAGCGACGCUUAUGCGUUGUUGGGUAGGGGAGCGUUCUGUAAGCCUGUGAAGGUGUGCUGUGAGGCAUGCUGGAGGUAUCAGAAGUGCGAAUGCUGACAUAAGUAACGAUAAAGCGGGUGAAAAGCCCGCUCGCCGGAAGACCAAGGGUUCCUGUCCAACGUUAAUCGGGGCAGGGUGAGUCGACCCCUAAGGCGAGGCCGAAAGGCGUAGUCGAUGGGAAACAGGUUAAUAUUCCUGUACUUGGUGUUACUGCGAAGGGGGGACGGAGAAGGCUAUGUUGGCCGGGCGACGGUUGUCCCGGUUUAAGCGUGUAGGCUGGUUUUCCAGGCAAAUCCGGAAAAUCAAGGCUGAGGCGUGAUGACGAGGCACUACGGUGCUGAAGCAACAAAUGCCCUGCUUCCAGGAAAAGCCUCUAAGCAUCAGGUAACAUCAAAUCGUACCCCAAACCGACACAGGUGGUCAGGUAGAGAAUACCAAGGCGCUUGAGAGAACUCGGGUGAAGGAACUAGGCAAAAUGGUGCCGUAACUUCGGGAGAAGGCACGCUGAUAUGUAGGUGAAGUCCCUCGCGGAUGGAGCUGAAAUCAGUCGAAGAUACCAGCUGGCUGCAACUGUUUAUUAAAAACACAGCACUGUGCAAACACGAAAGUGGACGUAUACGGUGUGACGCCUGCCCGGUGCCGGAAGGUUAAUUGAUGGGGUCAGCGCAAGCGAAGCUCUUGAUCGAAGCCCCGGUAAACGGCGGCCGUAACUAUAACGGUCCUAAGGUAGCGAAAUUCCUUGUCGGGUAAGUUCCGACCUGCACGAAUGGCGUAAUGAUGGCCAGGCUGUCUCCACCCGAGACUCAGUGAAAUUGAACUCGCUGUGAAGAUGCAGUGUACCCGCGGCAAGACGGAAAGACCCCGUGAACCUUUACUAUAGCUUGACACUGAACAUUGAGCCUUGAUGUGUAGGAUAGGUGGGAGGCUUAGAAGUGUGGACGCCAGUCUGCAUGGAGCCGACCUUGAAAUACCACCCUUUAAUGUUUGAUGUUCUAACGUUGACCCGUAAUCCGGGUUGCGGACAGUGUCUGGUGGGUAGUUUGACUGGGGCGGUCUCCUCCUAAAGAGUAACGGAGGAGCACGAAGGUUGGCUAAUCCUGGUCGGACAUCAGGAGGUUAGUGCAAUGGCAUAAGCCAGCUUGACUGCGAGCGUGACGGCGCGAGCAGGUGCGAAAGCAGGUCAUAGUGAUCCGGUGGUUCUGAAUGGAAGGGCCAUCGCUCAACGGAUAAAAGGUACUCCGGGGAUAACAGGCUGAUACCGCCCAAGAGUUCAUAUCGACGGCGGUGUUUGGCACCUCGAUGUCGGCUCAUCACAUCCUGGGGCUGAAGUAGGUCCCAAGGGUAUGGCUGUUCGCCAUUUAAAGUGGUACGCGAGCUGGGUUUAGAACGUCGUGAGACAGUUCGGUCCCUAUCUGCCGUGGGCGCUGGAGAACUGAGGGGGGCUGCUCCUAGUACGAGAGGACCGGAGUGGACGCAUCACUGGUGUUCGGGUUGUCAUGCCAAUGGCACUGCCCGGUAGCUAAAUGCGGAAGAGAUAAGUGCUGAAAGCAUCUAAGCACGAAACUUGCC